rnacentral:rRNA from 1 species
GAUCAUGGCUCAGGAUGAACGCUAGCGACAGGCUUAACACAUGCAAGUCGAGGGGCAGCGAGGGAGUGGCAACACUUCUGUCGGCGACCGGCGCACGGGUGAGUAACGCGUAUGCAACCUGCCCUUCACAGGGGGAUAACCGGGAGAAAUUCCGACUAAUACCGCAUACGUCCUCAGGGGGCGAUCCCCUCGGGGAUGAAAGAAUUAUCGGUGAAGGAUGGGCAUGCGUGAUAUUAGGUAG